UAAAAUAACCGUUCACGUUUGUCGUGGGCGCGCAUCAGGGGCGUAACGAUCCUCUAUCACUAUGGCAACAGUCCGCCGCUCCGUGCGAUGUCAUCGGCUCUGCAUUCCUUUACACCGCCAUCCUCUGAAUCAUCUUUAGUUUCAGUCUCUGUAAAGAGGAUCGCGAGCCCGUCGCCAUAGCAACACGUUACAUAUCAAGCGGUAAUAUUUAUCCUUUACAGCAAAGCGAAUCUGACGGUGUUUUGUCUGUAAUGUUCACAGAUCACCGCUAGGGGGCAGCAGUUAACAACACAAAGACGCGUGACGAAGACGGCGUGAAAAAUCACACACGUAAAGGAAUAAAAUUGCCAGGGCUGAUCGAGUCUCGACGACAUAGACCCUGUUGAGAUCGCCAAAUCUUUGGAUUUGACAUUACUGUUGGAGGUUGGAGAAAAAAAUCCAGUGUUUAGACUUUUUGGGCAAGUCAACAUAUGAAUGGCCUACUUACGGUUGUCUCUACAUCCCAUACGAACAGUCCAGAAACAAGGUGGGCCUUCAUGCAUGCUCUGCAGCAUCAAAAAACAGGAGCAAAACAAAGGGAGAAUUUCAGCAUUUGGAGAAAAAACAGACAGAAUUUAUUUCGUAUCCAAGUUGAGUAUGCCAAAACCUCCAUGUCUCUUUAUCUAUGUGCUAAAAACACCAGAAUUCUACCCAUCUGAGCCACCUGGCAUCCCUUGACCUCCCAACCCGUGCUACAGCCCAAAUCCUAGAAGCUUUUCACUAUACAUUUAUCAUUCCCAGCCAUACCACUUGAGCUUCACACAUGAGUGACAACUUGGCAUGAUUCCUGACAACCUGCAGGCUAAAAUCCCACUUUCCCUUCACAACUGACUCAAACACCCGAUCCAUGAUACUUAAAAAUCAACUCACUCCUCAUUUUCCUGUUAUAAAUACAGUAGCGCAUCCUACUUUUGUUUUUUUAUGGCUUGCAUCUUAAAUUUGCAUUUGACUUUGAAGAAUUUUGCUGGAAUCCGUCAGCUAGAGGUCCAUGGGGAGUGCCGGUGGCUCACAAGUCACCAUGAUAUUAAAUCAACCAAAGUAUACCCAGGUACCGCUAGUGGAACUAGUACAUUAUUAUCUUGCAUUGCCAUUUUGCAUAAAUUCAUUAGACAGGGCAAUUAAUUUUUUCUUCAAGCUAAAACCGUCAUGAUAAAUGCUGUGACGGUAACUGUGUCAGAAGAGAACUGAAAUGCCCCAUCUGCAUUAGCAUUCAUAUGCAGAUUAACGUUGUUGUUUUUUACCGCAGUACACAGAAAAACAAGCUGAAUAUGAGCCGUUCGGUUUGGUGAUGGCAUACGAAGGUCUGUCUUACUGCAUUCAAGAUAAAACUAAACUUAUAAAUCACAUUGUAAUGCAAUAGUUGUUAUAUUGCAGCACAUAAACAAUACUGAGACGUGCAUGGUAUUUUGACCCGACUAUGAAAAUAAUAUUGUGUCUGGGGAUUUAUCCUGAUUCUUGCCUCUAGAAAAAAAAAACUUUUGAGGCUGAUGGCAGACAUUUUAGCAUUAUAAAAUUACUCUUGCAUACAACACAUGAUGAAAUCUCAGGAGUGGGAGAUAAUGAGCCAGUUAAGUUAGCCAAACAAUGAUGGAUAGAUUAGUUAAAGCCAAAAACAGAGUGACAGAGAGGAAAAAUGUGCAGCAAGAACGAAAUUGAACAGUAUCCAAACCUAACCAUUUCAUCAGGGAAUAAUGGUCCAUAGAUCAAUUGUAUAUGGGCACAACCGGUUCAGACCAAUGCAUCAUUGUUGAUGAUUAAACUGCUGGCUCUAAUCCACUUUAAUGCCUUCAAACUUAUUGGAUGAGUCUUCAUUAGGUAGCAUGACUAAAAUAACCCUACAGCAGGAUUCAGGGCAUGACAAUGAAAAAUGUGUUUUGUUUAAACAAUUGUAAAAUCUAAAUCCGAAUGAGUGUGUUUAAGUUCAACAUUUCAGGAAAUAAGGAGCUACUAAAAGUGGCAACUUUAAAGGCAUCACAAAAAUAGGAGAUGUUGUCUGAUCUCUAAGACUUCAGGCAAUGAUUAACUGCUAAACUAUAGUGACACAUUUGCUUUUCAUUAUAGCAUACGUCAAACUACAUUUAAGGCUUGAAAUGGUUUGGGAUUACUGUGUCUAUAUCAUUUAACAAUUCCCCACAUUUCAUUCUUUACUAUAAAAGGACAGUUCACUCAAAAAUGAAACUUAACACUAAUAUUGCUACCUGUGUGUGCUUUUAUUUUUAGGAGAUGGGUUUUGGAUCAAUAUAUUGGAAAGGACUGUUCAAAAUAAUAAACCAUUGACAGCCAAUCAAAUCUACCGACUACUUUAUAUUUUUUAAUUUUGCAUUGAUAGAUAAGAUUACACAAACAUGUCUAUCAUCUUUCAGACGAGCACAUUUAGAGUUAUUUUAGUAAAUGUCAAGCUUAUCCACCUGUUUUUUGACAUAAAUGUGGGCGCCGCCAUCUUUGAGCUUUCUUGUUUAUGACUUUCGUUGAGCCACUAAAGCUAAUGGUAGUCUAUUUUCGAAGGAAACAAGUGUGCCGUUUUGACUGGAUGUUUAAUGUUUAUUAUGAAAUCCAGGAAGACUGACAUAAUUUGUGCAUUUAGGGGUUGCUAUAAUAGCUACAAACGCAGUAAAUCGCUACAAAACAAUUGUUUUAACCAAAAUCCACGCACAAGAACUGAAUGUGGAGCACAUGCACUCAUCUGUAUUUACAAAUCCAUCCAGUAAAACCUUUCAUAGAAACUGCCAGUAAACAAUAAAUACAAUAGUUGUUUAUAAACAACUAAUAUUAUGCUGAUAAAAUAUGCUGAUUUAUUUAUUCUGCUACUAUACUUACAAAAAUGCGAUUUCAGUACAGAAUAUAUAUGACAUAAUCUGCUUAGUUAAUGUUUAUAAUUGUUCGUAAUGUGUUUUCGCCUAACUUUGUUAUGUUUUAAAUAAAAAAGCAAAUACUUUAAAAAGUAAGCAAAUAAUUUCAUAAGCUUAUGUCUCCACCUAAUGUGUAAGAAGUAGGGGUGUAACGGUACGCAAAAAUCACGAUUCGUUGCGUACCUCGGUUUUGAUGCCAUGGUUCAGUUCA